rnacentral:rRNA from 1 species
GAGUGGCGAACGGGUGAGUAACACGUGGAGAACCUGCCCAUAAGAGGGGGAUAACAUCCGGAAACGGGUGCUAAUACCGCAUAGGUAUCCGACACGCAUGUGUCGGCUAUGAAAGACGGCUUCGGCUGUCGCUUAUGGAUGGCUCCGCGGCGUAUUAGCUAGUUGGUGAGGUAAUGGCUCACCAAGGCAGUGAUACGUAGCCGACCUGAGAGGGUGAUCGGCCACACUGGGACUGAGACACGGCCCAGACUCCUACGGGAGGCAGCAGUAGGGAAUCUUCCACAAUGGGCGCAAGCCUGAUGGAGCAAUGCCGCGUGAAUGAAGAAGGUCUUCGGAUCGUAAAGUUCUGUUAUCGGAGAAGAACACGUCGAGUAGUAACUGGCUCGACCUUGACGGUAUCCGACCAGAAAGUCACGGCUAACUACGUGCCAGCAGCCGCGGUAAUACGUAGGUGACAAGCGUUGUCCGGAUUUAUUGGGCGUAAAGCGAGCGCAGGCGGUCUUUUAAGUCUGAUGUGAAAGCCCACGGCUCAACC